UGUGCCUUAGUUUGGAGAUCCAUCUUUGAGAAUCUUAAGGGUUAGAGAUUGCAAGAGUUCUUCCCAAGAACUAAGAAGCAAGUUGCACUUUUGCCUGUCAGAAGCUAGAAGUUGCAGCAUAUGUAAAAAUGUGCAUAUAUUAGGAUUAGUAAUCUUUUUUAGAAAUCAAAUGGAUUCGGUCUUAUGCAUACGCGAGGAAGGUAAUCAAAAAAC
rnacentral:lncRNA from 1 species